rnacentral:rRNA from 1 species
GAUGAACGCUGGCGGCGUGCCUAAUACAUGCAAGUCGAGCGAACGGACGAGAAGCUUGCUUCUCUGAUGUUAGCGGCGGACGGGUGAGUAACACGUGGAUAACCUACCUAUAAGACUGGGAUAACUUCGGGAAACCGGGGCUAAUACCGGAUGAUAUUUUGAACCGCAUGGUUCAAAAGUGAAAGACGGUCUUGCUGUCACUUAUAGAUGGAUCCGCGCUGCAUUAGCUAGUUGGUAAGGUAACGGCUUACCAAGGCAACGAUGCAUAGCCGACCUGAGAGGGUGAUCGCCCACACUGGAACUGAGACACGGUCCAGACUCCUACGGGAGGCAGCAGUAGGGAAUCUUCCGCAAUGGGCGAAAGCCUGACGGAGCAACGCCGCGUGAGUGAUGAAGGUCUUCGGAUCGUAAAACUCUGUUAUUAGGGAAGAACAUAUGUGUAAGUAACUGUGCACAUCUUGACGGUACCUAAUCAGAAAGCCACGGCUAACUACGUG